rnacentral:rRNA from 1 species
AAGGAAUAUUGGACAAUGGAGGAAACUCUGAUCCAGCCAUGCCGCGUGAAGGAUGAAGGCGCUCUGCGUUGUAAACUUCUUUUGAGUGGGAACAAAAAACGGGACUUGUCCUGGACUGAGGGUACCACUAGAAUAAGCACCGGCUAACUCCGUGCCAGCAGCCGCGGUAAUACGGAGGGUGCAAGCGUUAUCCGGAAUCACUGGGUUUAAAGGGUGCGUAGGCGGUGUUGUAAGUCAGUCGUGAAAUUCCCCGGCUCAACCGGCGGGACUGCGAUUGAUACUGCGGCACUUGAAUCAGGUUUAGGCAGGCGGAAUGUGACAUGUAGCGGUGAAAUGCUUAGAUAUGUCAUAGAACACCGAUUGCGAAGGCAGCUUGCUGGGCCUUGAUUGACGCUGAGGCACGAAAGCGUGGGGAGCAAAC